rnacentral:rRNA from 1 species
UACGUAGGUGGCAAGCGUUAUUCGGAUUUACUGGGUGUAAAGGGCGUGUAGGCGGGACUGCAAGUCAGAUGUGAAAAUUAUGGGCUCAACCCAUAACCUGCAUUUGAAACUGUAGUUCUUGAGUGAUGGAGAGGCAGGCGGAAUUCCGUGUGUAGCGGUGAAAUGCGUAGAUAUACGGAGGAACACCAGUGGCGAAGGCGGCCUGCUGGACAUUAACUGGCGCUGAGGCGCGAAAGCGUGGGGAGCAAACAGG